rnacentral:rRNA from 1 species
GGUAUUUUGACCGUGCAAAGGUAGCAUAAUCAUUAGUUUUUUAAUUGAAAGCUGGAAUGAAAGGUUGGAUGAGAAAGAAGCUGUCUCUAUUUAAUUUAUUUAGAAUUUUAUUUUUAAGUUAAAAAGCUUAAAUUUUAAUAGAAGACGAGAAGACCCUAUAGAGUUUGAUUAAUUUUUUUAAUAAGAUUAAUAGGAUUUUUUAUUUUUAUGAAAAAAAUUAAUUUAGUUGGGGUGAUUGAAAAAUUAAUUAAACUUUUUUUUUAUUAAUACAUUAAUUUAUGAAUAGUUGAUCCUUAAUUAGAGAUUAAAAGAUAAAAUUACCUUAGGGAUAACAGCGUAAUUUUUUUUGAGAGUUCAAAUCGAAAGAAAAGAUUGCGACCUCGAUGUUGGAUUAAAAUAAAAUUUUGGUGUAGAAGCUAAAG